rnacentral:rRNA from 1 species
GACGAACGCUGGCGGCGUGCCUAAUACAUGCAAGUCGAGCGGACUUGACAGAGCUUGCUCUGUUCAAGUUAGCGGCGGACGGGUGAGUAACACGUGGGCAACCUGCCCUGCAGAUUGGGAUAACUCCGGGAAACCGGGGCUAAUACCGAAUAACAUUGAAAACCUCAUGGUUUUCUUUUAAAAGGCGGCUUCGGCUGUCACUGCAGGAUGGGCCCGCGGCGCAUUAGCUAGUUGGUGAGGUAACGGCUCACCAAGGCGACGAUGCGUAGCCGACCUGAGAGGGUGAUCGGCCACACUGGGACUGAGACACGGCCCAGACUCCUACGGGAGGCAGCAGUAGGGAAUCUUCCGCAAUGGACGAAAGUCUGACGGAGCAACGCCGCGUGAGUGAAGAAGGUUUUCGGAUCAUAAAACUCUGUUGUUAGGGAAGAACAAGUAUCGGAGUAACUGCCGGUACCUUGACGGUACCUGACCAGAAAGCCACGGCUAACUACGUGCCAGCAGCCGCCGUAAUAC